rnacentral:rRNA from 2 species
AGAGUUUGAUCAUGGCUCAGGAUGAACGCCGGCGGUGUGCCUAAUACAUGCAAGUCGUACGCACUGGCCCAACUGAUUGAUGGUGCUUGCACCUGAUUGACGAUGGAUCACCAGUGAGUGGCGGACGGGUGAGUAACACGUAGUAACCUGCCCCGGAGCGGGGGAUAACAUUUGGAAACAGAUGCUAAUACCGCAUAACAACAAAAGCCACAUGGCUUUUGUUUGAAAGAUGGCUUUGGCUAUCACUCUGGGAUGGACCUGCGGUGCAUUAGCUAGUUGGUAAGGUAACGGCUUACCAAGGCGAUGAUGCAUAGCCGAGUUGAGAGACUGAUCGGCCACAAUGGAACUGAGACACGGUCCAUACUCCUACGGGAGGCAGCAGUAGGGAAUCUUCCACAAUGGGCGCAAGCCUGAUGGAGCAACACCGCGUGAGUGAAGAAGGGUUUCGGCUCGUAAAGCUCUGUUGUUGGAGAAGAACGUGCGUGAGAGUAACUGUUCACGCAGUGACGGUAUCCAACCAGAAAGUCACGGCUAACUACGUGCCAGCAGCCGCGGUAAUACGUAGGUGGCAAGCGUUAUCCGGAUUUAUUGGGCGUAAAGCGAGCGCAGGCGGUUGCUUAGGUCUGAUGUGAAAGCCUUCGGCUUAACCGAAAGAAGUUGCAUCGGAAACCGGGCGACUUGAGUGCAGAAGAGGACAGUGGAACUCCAUGUGUAGCGGUGGAAUGCGUAGAUAUAUGGAAGAACACCAGUGGCGAAGGCGGCUGUCUGGUCUGCAACUGACGCUGAGGCUCGAAAGCAUGGGUAGCGAACAGGAUUAGAUACCCUGGUAGUCCAUGCCGUAAACGAUGAGUGCUAGGUGUUGGAGGGUUUCCGCCCUUCAGUGCCGGAGCUAACGCAUUAAGCACUCCGCCUGGGGAGUACGACCGCAAGGUUGAAACUCAAAGGAAUUGACGGGGGCCCGCACAAG